AGAAUAUUAUCGCUAGAAUAACUCUGAUCCUUUUGAAAAUCUAAAGAUUAAGUACAGAGUAUUGCACGAGACAAAAGUUAGCUAUCAGGCUGAUAGCGUGAAGAUAAUUACUGUGCAUGCAGAAGAUAAUUACUGUGCAUGCGCUUUACCUAUGUGGCUUUACCAUAGCAACGCGUUUGAAUAUGGAGGCACGGAAACGAAAACGUGCAGCAAAUUGGACUUCAGACGAGAGAAAUAUAUUAGUUGAUUUGGCGAUAAAGUAUUGUGAAAUAAUUGAAAAUAAAAAAACUGAUGCUGUUUCAAUAAAGGAUAAAGAGAAUGCGUG
rnacentral:lncRNA from 1 species